CAUGGAUUCAUAUAUCUUCUUGUUCUGGUGAUCUUCCCUUGCUCUUGCUGGGAAAGACCAUGACUUUCCUUGCCCUUUGUCAUCCCAAAUCAACCACCUAAAUAAAAGAAAUUGAAAGCAUUCAAGACCCAGAUAAACAUCAUGGCAAUUAAAGAUUUUCAAGAACCAUAAUCAAGAACAUAUAAAUGAAGUAUAGAACAAGUUUCAAGUACUUCAAAACUUUGAGGUUGAUUAGGUGAGACUGGAAAUCAAAGUAAGAAGAACAUAAUAGUAACUGGGUUUGGUAUCAAAUGGACAAGUUGAUGUUGUGAGGCAGAGAAUAUUCGCAUAGAGACAAUGGAAAGCUUUUCCCUUUCUCAAAGGGGAAGCAAACUAAUCGUUCGGGGAUGUUUACAAGUUGGACAGAGAUGAGGAGAGAGUCGGCAACUCUGAAUACGCGUUGGCAGCGUGCGGCUUGCGUGGGCUAAAUCGAAACUCGCAGCCCUGGUGAUACCCAAAUCUCCAACGCUGGUCAAGAGGCAGAUAUAAAAUAUGCGCAACAAGAAGACGAAGACAGCAAGAACAAAAGAAGGUGGUGCUUUCCUUGAAGAGACCAUGUUCAAUUUAAACCUAUGAACCAUUAAUUAAGGCCAAUCCCAAAUUUGAUCAGAUCAAACUCCAUCUGAUUCAAGGCCUGAACCGGCCCUGCCGAUGUCCAAGUUGGAACAACCAUAUAUUUUCUUUGUCUUUCAAUUGGGCUCCAUAUUCUACUGGAUCUGGCCCAUAUAAGAAAAACCCAUUGAGCCCAAAACGAUUAAACAUCAUGUCUCUCCAGCAUCUGUGCUGCUGCACACUGUCACAAGAGAUUGAUUGGCAUAGAAGAUAGAAGGCUGUGUCUUCUGUUUUGUCAAUCAAAAUUUUAUCUUAACCAAGAUGAUGGCGCUAUUUGAAGCACCGCCAUUCUUUAACUGCAACCACCCACUCUUCUCCUCCCGAAACAGUUUAACCGCCGUCACUUCUUGCUCUGCUUCAAGUCUUCCUCCUUCAUCAUCUCCCAAAAUCCCGGAAGGGGAAACCACUGACCCCAAUUCACUUAAUAUUGCACCUGACAGGUCCAGGGAUCGCCGGAAGGUUGUUCGACUGGCCUGGGAGAAGCUGGUCCGCUGGUCCCGCUCUUGGCGCUCUAAGAACGGGACUGACGUCCUCCAAGACACAAACAAGGUGGUGGUGCUUGGAGGAGGAUCCUUUGGUACGGCAAUGGCUGCCCAUGUUGCUAAUAGAAAGGCUCAUUUGGAGGUUCACAUGCUUCUACGUGAUCCUUUAGUCUGUCAAUCGAUCAAUGACGACCACUGUAAUUGCAAAUACUUCCCAGAACACAAGUUACCAGACAAUGUCAUCGCCACCACUGAUCCUAAAACUGCUUUGCUUGGUGCAGACUACUGCCUUCACGCUGUACCUGUUCAGGUCCUUUGGUUCCUUCCCCUUUGCUCUCCUCGUGUCAAUUUUGUACUGGAAAAACUUGCAUAUAAAGAUCAUUCAAACAUUAUAAGACAUGGCAACUUAUAUGCCUAUAUCAUUCUAAAUUGUAAUUAUUUAAAAUUUUAAUGCAGUUCAGCUCAUCAUUUCUUGAGGGCAUUUCAAAAUUUGUUGAUCCAGGCUUGCCUUUUAUAUCCCUUAGCAAAGGCUUGGAGCUCAAUACAUUGAGGAUGAUGUCUCAGAUUAUUCCUCAAGCACUGAAGAAUCCUCGCCAGCCUUUUGUUGCAUUAUCUGGACCUUCUUUUGCCCUGGAAUUGAUGAAUAAGUUACCAACAGCAAUGGUGGUGGCAUCCAAGGACAAAAAGUUGGCAAAUGCUACUCAACAGCUACUAGCCUCUUCUCAUUUAAGAAUAAGCACUUCAAGGGGUGGAGAUUGCAGGUGCUCUAAAAAAUGUGCUUGCCAUAGCAGCUGGGAUUGUGGAAGGAAUGAAUCUGGGUAAUAAUUCGAUGGCAGCUCUUGUUGCACAAGGUUGUUCUGAGAUCCGAUGGCUGGCUACAAAGGUGUUCUCUUUGUUCCUUGCUCAUUAAUAAUCCAUUUAUUGCGCAAAUAUUAACUUUACUGUUUUUGUCCUUUUUGGCUGGACAAAGGGUAAUUCAUUCUUUAUUAUAGGACACUUUUGGGAACAUUAACGUUUCUGUUAACUUCUAGUUUGAUGGUAAUACCUGGAUGGAGCAAACAGAAGCUAUCUCUUAAUGAUGGUUGUCAAUUGCUGUUGCUCCAAUCCCAUUGGUUGAGGAAGAAAAAGGUGAAUUCUAGCUGUGGAAGACAUUUUGUGAAGUUGUAGGUUUUGUACAAGUGCCUAGAUUUUAGAAAUAAUAAAUAAUUGGCAUUGCAUAUGGUUAAUACUGUAGCAUAACGGUGUGCUCUCUUGUUAGCAUUAGACUACAAUGACAAUCUGAUUCCCAUGGUCUAUCGUGGAAAAGAGAUCAUAUAUGUUUUAAUGUUAUUCUGUCAUGCACAUGGAAUAGAAGUGAAAGGCUCAUAAAUCAUAAUCCUAUGGACCACCUUGAUAAUAUGGAAGGGCUUUCACAUUAACUACGAGGUGAUACUUGGUCUUAUUUGUUUUCUUGCUAUAAAAAGUGAUAGAGUUGAUGAGAUUUUCUCUAUAUUGAGGAGAUUAUUAAGGAGAUAAUUUAAGGAGAAGAUUACUCCUUAAUUUAGGAAUGAUUUAUGUCCAUAAGUCAAAGGAUUUUAGGAGUAAUAUAUGGUUUUAUACCUUCUAUCUUUCAUUAUAAAUGCUUAUGUAUUAUGUAAAGUGUGUGAUGCGAAUGAAAAAUGUAGUCUUUAUACCCUUUGUGUUCUUUCUCACUUCCUUCCUCUUUUUCUUCUUAUUAUCUUUCUUUCUAAAAACUUAACAAAAAGAACAACAACAUGAUCUGAAUUUCUUAUUCUGCCUAUGUUUGCAUCAGCUAGCCCAUUUGUGGCAUAAGCUCUGUCAAUUUGUUAAUCAGCAUCUUCACGAGUAUCAACUUUAUAGAAUAACUAGGCUUUUGCCUGCGCCUUGCGCGGGUGUGUUCAUCAUCAAUAUAUUAUAUAACUAAGUAAAGAUGUUUCUUAUAUUUGUAUUUAAAUUAUUUGAAAUGUUUUAAGAAAUUUUUGUAAAAGCAACCAGGAAAAUAUAAAAAAAUAAAUACGAAUAAUUAUUAUAAAUUAAAAAUGAAAAUAAAGAAUAAAGAUAAAAUACCAAUAAAAUGUAUGUAAAUAAAUUCUUAUAAGAUGAAGAUUGUACUAGGUCGUGUAAAUUUUUUAUUUUUAAUGCCUUGGUUACUAAAAAACAUCUGGUAGGCUUGAGAGAAAAUAUUGGUUGGACAUUGUAUUUUUUAUUUAUAUUAGGAGGUGACUAGUUUGAUUUUUGAUAUGUGAUAUUGGUUUAUAUAAUUUAUGACUAUAACUCAUAGUUUUCCUAGUAUUAAUUAAAU
rnacentral:misc_RNA from 1 species